CUCGAGUGGCGAACGGGUGAGUAACACGUGGGUGAUCUGCCCUGCACUUUGGGAUAAGCCUGGGAAACUGGGUCUAAUACCGAAUAGGACCAUGGGAUGCAUGUCUUGUGGUGGAAAGCUUUUGCGGUGUGGGAUGGGCCCGCGGCCUAUCAGCUUGUUGGUGGGGUGAUGGCCUACCAAGGCGACGACGGGUAGCCGGCCUGAGAGGGUGUCCGGCCACACUGGGACUGAGAUACGGCCCAGACUCCUACGGGAGGCAGCAGUGGGGAAUAUUGCACAAUGGGCGCAAGCCUGAUGCAGCGACGCCGCGUGGGGGAUGACGGCCUUCGGGUUGUAAACCCCUUUCAGUACCGACGAAGCGUAAGUGACGGUAGGUACAGAAGAAGCACCGGCCAACUACGUGCCAGCAGCCGCGGUAAUACGUAGGGUGCGAG
rnacentral:rRNA from 1 species